rnacentral:rRNA from 1 species
AUUGAACGCUGGCGGCAGGCUUAACACAUGCAAGUCGAGCGGGGGAAGGUAGCUUGCUACCGGACCUAGCGGCGGACGGGUGAGUAAUGCUUAGGAAUCUGCCUAUUAGUGGGGGACAACAUCUCGAAAGGGAUGCUAAUACCGCAUACGUCCUACGGGAGAAAGCAGGGGAUCACUUGCGACCUUGCGCUAAUAGAUGAGCAUAGGUCGGAUUAGCUAGUUGGUGGGGUAAAGGCCUACCAAGGCGACGAUCUGUAGCGGGUCGGAGAGGAUGAUCCGCCACACUGGGACUGAGACACGGCCCAGACUCCUACGGGAGGCAGCAGUGGGGAAUAUUGGACAAUGGGGGGAACCCUGAUCCAGCCAUGCCGCGUGUGUGAAGAAGGCCUUAUGGUUGUAAAGCACUUUAAGCGAGGAGGAGGCUCUUUUGGUUAAUACCCAAGAUGAGUGGACGUUACUCGCAGAAUAAGCACCGGCUAACUCUGUGCCAGCCGCCGCGGUAA